rnacentral:lncRNA from 1 species
AAGGUCUUCAAGAGCUAUAAUAUGGAAUAAACUUUGCAAAAAUUCUGAUGUCAAGAGGUUUCCACUUCAGUUAAUAAAAUUAAAAGGAUCAAAAGGGGCUCUGAGAAAUCUACAAACCAGACUGGAAAACAUGUUUCUACUCUGGAUGACACACACUCAAUGGAAGCUUCAUGACUAAGAAACAUGUUCUCAACAGAAAAAAAGACAUCUGCUUAGUUUGGAUUCGUUUGGGAAUUUCUCCUUGGUACGGCUAUAGGUAACUUCAAGGUAACCUCAAGGCAACAGAAAGGGAUCUACUCAAGUUGUUGGCUGAAGACUGGAUAGUCAAGGAAGGCCUCAGCUGGCAGUCUGGAGAUUGGCCAGAGGGAAAGCAACAACUACAACUCGUGUGACCUAUGUUAACCAGGAGAUACACACACCUUCUGCUAAAACAUAUAAACGUCAUGUCACAGCCCUCCACAGAAAAGCAGAAUGGACAGAAUAGCAACAUUCACACAGAAAGCAUGUCCUACUUUCUGCACCUAAGAGUCAGUGAGCUCUCACUCUUCCCCUCACUGGGAGCCUCUCUGAUCCAUCUGGAAUAGAAGCCCUAUCAGCCCCUCCUCUUUUCAACCCAGCUUGCUGAAGGCCUCAUAAUAUCAUCAGCAAUCCCAGCUGUGGCUUUCUGAACAAUACUUUCUUUUGUGGUAGUUGUCAACUCUGCUUACAGUAACCAAACAGAAAAAAAAAGAGUCCCAGAUAAUCUAAAAGUCUUCACUCUAAAGCAGCUCUCCUCAGCACCUGAUAGACUACAGAGAAGUGGUCUACGCUGAUCAUUUUGAGUUGAAAUAAAAUGGAUAAAUU